GAUGAACGCUGGCGGCGUGCCUAAUACAUGCAAGUCGAGCGAACAGACGAGGAGCUUGCUCCUUUGACGUUAGCGGCGGACGGGUGAGUAACACGUGGGUAACCUACCUAUAAGACUGGGAUAACUUCGGGAAACCGGAGCUAAUACCGGAUAAUAUUUCGAACCGCAUGGUUCGAUAGUGAAAGAUGGCUUUGCUAUCACUUAUAGAUGGACCUGCGCCGUAUUAGCUAGUUGGUAAGGUAACGGCUUACCAAGGCAACGAUACGUAGCCGACCUGAGAGGGUGAUCGGCCACACUGGAACUGAGACACGGUCCAGACUCCUACGGGAGGCAGUAGUAGGGAAUCUUCCGCAAUGGGCGAAAGCCUGACGGAGCAACGCCGCGUGAGUGAUGAAGGUCUUCGGAUCGUAAAACUCUGUUAUUAGGGAAGAACAAACGUGUAAGUAACUGUGCACGUCUUGACGGUACCUAAUCAGAAAGCCACGGCUAACUACGUG
rnacentral:rRNA from 1 species